AGGAGGACGGAGGAGAGCAGCAGAACAGCGGGAAGGGAGGCGGGCAGGCAGCGGCAUCAGCAUCCCGGGCCCUCCCGAGAGCGGCAUAUAGCUACGGAACACCUGUAGGUCCAUAGGCUGUGAUGGAUGCUGACUUAUUGCCUCUCCAUCUGACCGUUUCUCCUCCAUGCAACUGGGGCAAGCUCUUAUUGAUUUCAACUGAACAUCCUGAUGGAGGAAUUUUAAAGGUGGCCACCUGGUGAAAUAUCAAAGGACUCGUGUGAAAAUCUGAGGUCGUUUUAGGCGAAAUUUCAGCAGAAAUAUAGAAAAUUCUGAAGGGUUCACAAACUUUCAAGCACCACUGUGUACUUCAUUUGUAAAUAGAAGAAUUUAGAUGCUGUCUGUUCUUGCAUUAAAAUAAAUUUUUUAUUUAUUCCUGGUUUUAAUAUUUUAACAUUGUGGUGUUGCAAGAAAAUGAACCAUGUGU